rnacentral:rRNA from 1 species
GACGAACGCUGGCGGCGUGCCUAAUACAUGCAAGUAGAACGCACAGUUUAUACCGUAGCUUGCUACACCAUAGACUGUGAGUUGCGAACGGGUGAGUAACGCGUAGGUAACCUGCCUGGUAGCGGGGGAUAACUAUUGGAAACGAUAGCUAAUACCGCAUAAUAUUGAUUAUUGCAUGAUAAUUGAUUGAAAGAUGCUAUUGCAUCACUACCAGAUGGACCUGCGUUGUAUUAGCUAGUAGGUGAGGUAACGGCUCACCUAGGCGACGAUACAUAGCCGACCUGAGAGGGUGAUCGGCCACACUGGGACUGAGACACGGCCCAGACUCCUACGGGAGGCAGCAGUAGGAAAUCUUCGGCAAUGGACGAAAGUCUGACCGAGCAACGCCGCGUGAGUGAAGAAGGUUUUCGGAUCGUAAAGCUCUGUUGUAAGAGAAGAACGGGUGUGAGAGUGGAAAGUUCACACUGUGACGGUAUCUUACCAGAAAGGGACGGCUAACUACGUG